UUUCGAAAUUUAAGCGUUUUUUUACGCGGAUUCCGGAAUUUACGCAUUUUUUUAACGCGGCACGUAUCCCUUGCGUAAAAAGCGACUUUAGUUUCGGAAUCCACGUAAAAAAAGCUGCGUAAAAAGACCCAUGUAAAAACAACCGCGUAAAAAGCGACCUUAGUGUACCAUUUUUUUACUUCUAAAAUUUUGAAGAGCUUGCCCCCCCCCCUAUUUGAAAUUCUGGCUACACCCAUGAACGUUAGUUUGUUGUCUAAAUAAGGCAACUUUUCAUUGUAGGAAUCAACAAAGUAAAAGUCGGUUGAUGUACCUACUACUGUACUGAUGCUGCCCACUACCGCACAAGGGCCACUUUUUACUAGAGGAUGUAUUGCUGCACCAGCUGGCUCUGCCACCACGGCUACCGCUGCCGUACAAAGGCAACUUUUUUGUAGAGAAAAUGCCACUGCACCUAUCGCAGUUGGUGGUGCCACUAGCGCUGCUGAUACUCACUCAGCUACCACUGUUGCUAUCCACUGCAUCUGUUGGGCUGUCCUAGUCGUUAUCCAGAACUAAUAUGACUGGUUAAGGCAGAAGCAGGCUCUUAUAAGAACCAAAUAGUACCUUUCCGGUUUUCUAAUUAUAUAAUUCUAUCGACCGGGCUAGGCAAGGCAAGCAUUAAGCGAAUAAUCAGAGGUCGAAUUCUGUGUUUUAACAAGGCUUGUCAAUUUUCAAUAGUUCGAAUAAUGAAAUUACAAUUUUCUGCAUUAGAGUGGAUGCACAGAUGACUUUCGAAUUGAUUGCUGCAAGAACGAAGGAAAUCCAUUGAAAACUAACCGAGCCGAACCUGCUGAGAGACGUUCAGGGAGUAGACAAAAUGAUUGAGACAGGCAACAUUUUGUCAAUUUUUGAAUCGCCAUAACUUCACGAAAAAUGAAUUGAUUUUGACGAAACAGAUUUCAUUUUACUGGAGGACUAUCCUAGUUUUUUAGUAUUACUUGAGAACUUGGAUUUUAGGAGUAUGCGUCAAAAUGUACAUUUUUGCAACCCGAAGAACUUUUUCUGACACCUUGUUUUUUGGUUUAUAUAUUGCAUACAAACCAGAAUUAAAUCCGACAUCAUUGGUACUUAACGACCGGAAAUCCGUCAAAAUCGUUUUGUUCAAUCCUUGUUGUUCUAUGUCAAAUGAAAUUUUUCAAAACACGAAUUUUUUCACGGUCAACAUAUUUUACGUUGAAAAUGUUUCAUGGGCAUUACUUUUCCUUUUAUCCUGAAACUUUCAAAAAAAUUUAGAUAAUUUAGAUAUUUAGAUGUUCAUCUAAAAAAUUCAAGUAUUAAAAGAUUUGAGGGCCGUUUUUUAAUAAUUUGUUGUUCUUCAAAACCAAUUUUUUAGAGUGGACUUCAAAUACCUGUUUUUGAUAAAUGAAAACUCAGACGAUUACCUAAAAGUUGUUUUUGACAUUUUUUAUCUCUCGUGUUAAUUAGAUGUAUCCAUCGAAAAUACUUCAGCCCUUUUCAACUAUUAGUAUAGAUACGUUUUUCAAAAAUGAAAUAUGCAAAGUUGCUUAGUUUGAUAGGGCUCAAACAUUCACGGAUUCGAAUAGAGUGCUGCAAACACCCGGUCGAGUUGGCGCGAAUUCCGUUGUUAGAAAAAUCAUAACUAGAAAACUACAAAACUAAUCAAAAAAAAAAACAAUCAAAAAUAAUGUAUGUUAACGAAAAAAUACACUGCAAAAGUAAUAAUUUUCAAUCUUAUUUAAAAAUUACCUUCUCGUUAAAAUACUCAAAUCAACCUUAACUGUAGACAUGCUUGGUAUUUUCUUCAACAUGGGAGAAAAGCUGAAUGAAUAUUUACCGUUUACUUCUUGUUCAGCAUGAGAGCUGCGUGUGGCAAUUUUUUGCGCUACACUUUUUUCAUUUCUGUACUGUGUUUUAUUGCUCGCAGAGAAACUAACACACUUGCUGCUUACACCACAGCUGAGCGGAAGAAGAGUGAUGAAUCAUUCUAAAGAGAAUACACGGAAGAACGCCGUGGAGUACACUGCUGAGAUCAAUUCGGUAGAGUUCAAAGAGCAAAUGCGUGACGGGUGGCUGGAAUUAUUUUGUUCCAGUUUCGAGAUGCAAAGUAAACACCGGUAUCCAAUUUCCAGCCUAGAUUUUCUCCUUCUUUGACAUUUACUUAAGAGACACACAGUAAAAGCAUUGCAGUGAUCUCCGUUGUGUAGUUAUUGAGUGUAUCCACAAUACGCACGAGAGUCACAAAUGAAAUAAGGCUUUGGUCUCAAUAUUGUUCUCCAAACGUUUUAGAAAAAAAAAUGAGGCAACAGUUUUUGUAAUUGAGUAACUAUUACUUUUUUUAGAAAAACUUUUGCAAUUGUUUUCACAAAAGUCUUUAAAGAUUUCAUUAAAAACAUUUUUUUCUAAUUUUUGUCUCUGUGACAAUUGAAUUAGAAUUUACAAGUUUUUCUCUAAAGAAUCACAGACCAAAUUACAUUACUUCGGAAGCAAGGGUAUAUUUUUCAUUAAGUAGUCACGGUGAUAAUAUAUUUGCCCAGAGAAAUAGUUUUCCCAGAUAGUCACUGUGACUUUCGAGAGGAAAUAUACAAAAACAGUUAUGUUUGAAAGAAGGUGUAACCUCUUAAAAAACUUUUAGGUUAUUUGCGUUGUCACAGUGAUCAUCUCUUUUGGUUUGAGCUGAUAUAAGGAAAAGUAAACAUCAGGCUUUGACCGACAAAUAUCACUGUUUGAUCACUGUGACUUUUGUCAGGAAAUAUAUGUCAAAUGUUGUUAUAGAAUAUGUAGCCCUUUUAAAAAAAUAUCUUACUACAAUGUCACAUGAAUUUAUGUAAAUAUCUCUUUUCAAUCAAAUAACAAAGAAAACAUUACUUCAAUAUUACACAUUCCCUUCAUCCAACGUUCGAUUAGUAUUGUCUCACAAGAUUCUCCGUAUCAAUUGACCGUUAUUAAAUAAUCUAUAAUCAGUAUCGAAAAAAAUGAAUCUUUUUCUACAAAGGUCACCAAAAAUAAUUGGUGACAAAUUCCUAUUUGGUUCAUCAAGAUGGAGGUGAUAAUUACUCGUCGCAAAGGCGUCCGAGCUACUUCUUCGAACGUCUAUAUGAAACGCUCAAACCGGUCAUACUCGAGCGGCAACGACGCGUCGGUAGAGGCGGCGAAACAGAACGAGUAGUGUUUUGACGCGCGUAUACGUACGGUAAUGCCAUAUUCAGACUAAAUCUUUCAUCGCCAGGUGCUUUAUAUUUGCUUUGUUUGGGUUUGGUAAUUGAAAAAAGCAAAUAGAAUACAUUUUCGUUUAGCAAAUGUUAAAAUGUUUGAAAAAUGUUAAUGCAGUAAUACCAUGUCCGAUUAAACCUGAUAUCACCAGGUGCUUUAUAUUUCGCUUUAUUUUGGUCUUAAAUCUUAAAAAAAGAAGAAAGAUCAUUUUUCGGAUAGAAAAUAUUAUCGGGAAAAAUUUUCAGGUCGUCGGGAAAAAAACACUGGUAUUUUUGAUUGAUAUUGCAUACCUAACAUGCUGAACCUUUCGGUCGAAAAAGUCAAGCCGCUGAGUAACUAGCUGUGGUCACAGGGGUUAUUCAAAGCCUAACAGAUAUCAUAAACUAGUUAAACGUUACUCGGGGUUAGCGGGUUUAAAAUUUAGACUAAUUUCGUAUAUUUUUUACUACGUCUGUAACGCAACUGACUUCAGAAAUAUUAUUUUACUUCAUAAAAAAUCUCUAUGUUUACUAAAAACGUGAUUUACCGUGCUUGAAGAAGCAAACAAAUCUUCAUUGGACGAAUUCAUUUUUUUUUAAACAAAACCGCUGCUGGAAUCUAGGAAUAUGACAGCACAACGCAUUUGCCACGCUCGCUUCAGUAUGUCAUAGGAAGCUUCACCCAACGCUUCUGUUUUAUCCGCUUCUUAUACGCUAAACGCUUCGCUUCAUUUGACGCCUCAGUAUGUCAUUAGCCUAAGCCCCGCCUUUUCGACGCUUUUUCAGCAUUCCUGACCAUUUACAGAAAAUAUUCUUCGUACGAAUUUGAAUUUUCUUUCGAAGGUCACCAACAUGCCAUUUGUGUGGACUGGGUUGUCCUUUCUUUUGAGAAAGAUCACACCAGUUUUUUAUCUCUCUGGAGAACUAUUUCAGAUUCCACACCGGUGUUUUUUUUCGCUCUCCUCAGAUACACAUUGUUUUUUAAUAGAGGGGGUUGUUUUGUGAUGAAUUGAUUAUUUACUAAUAUUUAUUCAGAAUUUUUAUUGUAUGUUCUGCCACAAACGGUGACAUAUCAACACUUUUACAUAUAUUUUAAGCUUCAUUUCAUUAAAAGAUUGUAAUUGCUUCCGCAGUUAAGUGAAUAUAAUUGUAGGAAAAUUUUAAACCUACUUGUAAAGAAAAAAAAGGAAUUUAAAAUUAAACCUUAAUCUAAUCUUACACCUAUCUUACUGAUCAUAAAGUGAGUUAAUCGUUGUAAUUGAGGAUUGCAACGAUUUUUGUCGGAACUUAUUGAUAAGUUGGUUUGACAUAUUUUCUAAUGUUUCCUCAUUAGUAAGCCUGUGUAGUUCAUUCGUACUAAACCAGCGAGGACGCUUCAAUAUCAUUUUCAGAAGUUUGUUUUGACGCAUCUUUUUUCUGGUUGUACAACAACUUGUCCAGAUGGGGACUGCAUAUAAGAUUGCUGGUCUAAAUAUUUGUUUAUUCUUGAGACAAAGUCUAGAAUUUCUGUUGAUAAGAGGAUACAAACAUUUAUUACACUUUGUUUGGGUAUUCUCAAUGUGCUCUUUGAAGGUAAAAUUUUUAUCAUGAAUUAGCCCCAAGUAUUUAACUUGAUCAGACCAAUUUAAGAUUGCACCGUUCAUCUUAACAACAUGAUUAUUAGUGGUUUUGAGAAAAGGAACUCUUGGUUUAUGAGGAAAAAUAAUUGUGUUUUUGAUGCAUUAGAAAAAAUCGUCCAUUUCUACAAAUAUGAAGAAAAUAUAUGUAGACUUUUUUGCAGUCUACUGCAAAUAACACGAAGGCUUUUUCCUUUUACGGAAAUGCUUGUAUCGUCAUAAAACAAAGUUUUCUCACAUCCUGGUGGUGAAUCAGGAAGAUCAGAAGUAAAAAUAUUAUAUAACACUGGGCCCAAGACACUUCCUUGAGGUACACCAGCUCUAACGGGCAAUCUAUCAGAUUUACUAUUCAAAUAGUUAACCUGAAGAGUGCGGUCAGUCAAGUAACUUUGUAUCAUUUUUGUGAUGUAAAGAGGAAAACGGAAAUUGGACAUUCUGGCUAUCAAACCUUUAUGCCAAACACUGUCGAAUGCUUUUUCUAUGUCUAGAAGUGCAGCUCCAGUGGAAUGACCUUCAGAUUUAUUAGAACGAAUCAUAUUAGUUACUCUGAGUAACUCAGAUACACAUGAUUCGCUGCUCUUUUCAAGCAAGUGCGUCGCUUUGCUCAGCAGUGUGAGAGUAGUUGUUUACGCAGUGAGAGACAAUCUCCUACACGGUAGUAUUUUUCCGAGGAGAAAAGACUAGCCUGACUGUAGAUAAAAAACUUCUUAGGUUUUUUUUUGGAUUCAACAUAGUGAUAAAAUUUACGUUACCAGAAUUGAAGGGACCUGUUUGUUAUUGCAAAACUCGCGUAACAAAUCAUUUAAACAAAGUGAUCAGUUCGAGAUCUCAAAGAGAUUUAAUAACAUAUAUGGAAGCAUUAUUCAUACGAGAAUAUCUUUUUUCCUUUUGUUCUCAUAGAGCAAACCAGAGAAAAAUACAAGACAAGUUCUCGCUGAGCAAGAAUUUACAGGUAUUAGGUUGAACAAGUGCUAAGGCGAGCCUUUAGAAAUGACCUCAUAAGUACUAAUUUGCUGACUCCAUUAUUUCGCUUUGAUUUGCAAUAUAUUAAUUAAUUUCUAGUAAUUGCAAAAGAUGCAUGUAGAAAAAAAAAGAUUGUAAUGAAGUUUCUGAUAAUAUAGCAAAGCCUUGGUGCUAGACUCCGAUUCGGAACUCGAUCUUCUGUUUAUUAUACACAGACUUCGCAGCCAACUGUCAAGUGUACAGGACAAUUGCGGGGCUAGCGCUACGAUCCUACUGACACUAACGAGUCGAGACUCGAAUCUACGACGACUGGCUUGUUAGGCCAGCAUCGUACCUCGAGACCAGCUGGGAGGGUAUGAUAAUAAAAAUAUAGCAUAAAAUUUAAAUUUGAUAUCGUGAUGCUGAAAAUUUUGUAUUCGGUUUUAUACAUAAUUCAAGGAACUCUUUUUAAUAAAAAAAUAGCAUGAAUGUUAACCUUAAAAAUAAAAUCAGAAAGAGUAAUGUCUGAGUAAAUUUGCAUUUUACAACGUUAAAAUAAAAAUUCAUAAAUUCUAUUUUUAAUAUAUAUUUCUUCUUUUUAAGCUCAGCUGUUCAACUUUGUCUAUUUGCAGUUUUGAGCUGUAAUUUUUUGAACUAACCAAUUCAUAAAUUUUCAAAUACAACAAAUUAAUUGGGUGGGAGAGCUCGACUGUCGAUGGUAUCAACAAUUGGGUUCGGCUUAGCAGUCAAUUGUUGACAACAAAUUAAUAUAGGUAUUUUUGAAGCAAGGCAAAAAACAUUUGGUUAAGAGCAAAUAAUAGAUUUAUAUUAUGAGAAAGAAAAACUGCAAUCUCGAAUUCUCUGACUAGAAUCACACACUCUAGCAACACUUCCCGCCAAGAAAGGAUUGCAAGUUUUCCCAGAACGGCGUUUUCACUGUCACCAGUGGCGUCGACGACAACAGCGCAGCGAAAAAGAUGUAUGCAGAAGCACCAAGGAUGAGGGGAUUACACGUCUUUCCUCCUGAAAGGGAUACCUACUCUGUGACGCGUCGCGCGCAUACUCCCGAUGAUGGUUUACAGCGUCAGAUAUGCGUCAUAGCACGCGACCGACGACGCUCGGUAGCUUUGUAUGGGUGGGCAAAAUACACCCAAUCGCAGGAUCCGUUUUGGCGUUAAGGGGUGCAAAAAAUAAACGCUCCGGGUGGCAGUAGGGUAGGGGCAGGAUUUUUCGCUCGCUAUGUAGUUCCUUUCAGCGGAAAGUUUCCUAUUUGUUGUGAUUCGCACAUGGGAUGAAAAAACAAACCCUUUUUCUUAACCGUAGUUUAUGUACUGAAGAUGGUUUUCUUCCAAUACUAAGAAACAUUUUGUUUUUUUACUGCGUCGAAAUCUUCACGGUAUUGGUUCGAAAUUUUUUGGUAUAUUUUUCCACGAAGGCGCUCUCUUUCUUAAGAAAACCUCACUUUUUAUGCUGUUUUUCUUCGGCAUGAUUGCCUGAGCAUGUGCGUGUGCGGAAUGUGUACCGGUUUUACGUGGUGAAGCGUAAUUUUUGAUUUGCUCCCGUGAAGGGUGUUAUUAGACGAACGAGACCAACCGUAAACGGUCGCAUUUAAAUAUCAGACUUCUUGACAAUCUGACCACAAAUAAAGAAAAAAAUCUUUACAAAAACUGUUUGCAACGGUCGAAUUCGACCGUUGGAAUAGCCGUUAGCAACAGAGAUGGUUACCACCUGCAGGAAAGCUGUUCGGUUCAAGGUGAUUAACAUGCGAGACGCGGCAUCUGCCGCGCGCCAAGCUCCGGCUCACGUUGGUGAGUUUUUCCCGACUCAAUUACAGUCGUCUGGAUGCCAUCAUGGUCCGCUCGGGCUGCAACAUCAGCAGCAGCAACAACAGCAGAUUCCAACUGUUGAUGCCCACUGGCCGAUGGAUAGGGACGACGACCUCGACAAUGACGAUGACGACGAUGAUUAUUGUCGUCCAGCUGGCGAUAAUCGUUCGGAGCAAUUUGCUCUGUGCUGGAUGGGCAGUUUAGUACUGUCCGUUCGAGUGGCCAGUCAGGAUGUGUGCCAAUGUGGCAAUUUCGAGAAGUCGGUCGGUGGUGCAAUUAUAAAGUUGACGGGUAGUUUGUGGCUCGCAGUGACGUUAAGCGUGGAGUAGUGUUGAGCGGAACGAAAGUAGUGUUAUAAUUAAUGAUGUGUUGCUGACAUGGCGCUUUGGGAGGUGUGUAAUGAUAAAGAUAACUUUCUAUUCUUAGUAUUAGGAUUAGAGAAAGGUGCAGAAAGCGGAUUGACACUCGAAGGGACGUGAAUUAUGAUAAUGUAAACUGUUACGUCAGUGAAAUCACAGCAUAUAAAUAACGAGCAGAUACAUUUUCAAUAUACUAGACAUGUAGUUAAUGUUUUUGAAAUAUACGCGCAAUGCAAAUCACAACUUUAGUGUAAACACCUUAUAACAGCAUGCAAAUCGCAAAGACUACCACAUUCAAUUUAAUGCUGCAUGGUAAUGAAUUAUAAUUGAAAUCUGUUUUCAAUACUGGUUAGCCUAGUGCAUUGUAGAAACUAAAUUGGAAAAUUUGUGAUAGAUUACUUUUUGCUACAGCAGUGGAUAUGGCAUGUGUUCCAAAGAAAAAAAAAGCAUUACAAUGUAUCGAUGAGAUUGAUCCAAGGUUUUGAAGCUGGGCAAUGAUUUUGUGAUUAGGCGCACAAAAAUGAAUAGCCUAAUUUCUUAAAAAAAAUCACUGUUUAUAAAUAAUUCAUAAUUCAUAUUGGAUAUUCCUAAAGUUUCAUUCAAUCGUCAAUUGGUUCUUUUAAAGUUUCAAACAAAUGUAAAGGAGGAAUGAAUUAGAGGGACCGAACAACAAUCAUAAAUACGAUAGCCAUACGAAUAUUUACCAAACGUACAAUCGCCAUAAAGAUGAUUGCCAUACUAAAACUGGUUCUUAAAAAAACACCUCUAUUCUUUCCAUAAGCAAUUUGCAUUAAGUAUGUAAGAUGUUUAUAUCCUAAAUCGACAGAAUUUUGAACUUUGUUAGAGAGCAAUUUUUUGAUUUGCAAACAAAUUUUCUAGACCACCAUAAUGCUGUACGAGUCAAUCUGUUGUUGAACAAGGAAUUAAAUGCCGCUAAGGAAUGAGAAUAAUCACCAACUUUCGAUAAAAAUCGUUGCAAUCCUUGGAAACUUCAUCAUGUGAUUAAUGAACGUUUUCUGUUUUAUGAUUUUGAUGUUCGGAAGAAUGGAUGCUAAUGAUCGUGUACUAAUUUCCUUAUGAAUGAAAACGAAGCAAAAGAGAGAGAGCAAUUUAUUACCGCAAUGCGUUACUGAUUGAUCGAAGAAGCCGAUGAACAUUCGAAAUAAACGAGUAAAUUAAAUAUAUUUUCGCGCGCUCCUCUUUGUUUCGGAUAUCCGUACGGCGAAGAUGCAUCAUCGAUUGACAUAGUCCGAGUCGUCUGUCGACUCACCGUCGGAAGCGGCGGCCUCUCGUAUGCAUUAUUUAUCGCUGAGGGCUAUGCUUUAGUUAUGAAGCUAGUUCAGCCGUUGAAAUAGGAAUCACUAAGAUGCAGAGAGUGAAGCAUAGUUUAUAGUUUUCAGCGAAGUAAAAAUUGGAGCAUAAAUUUCCACUAGUGAAAUCAGUCGUGACCGGAACUUUUAGAAUAUAAACGCACAAAAAAGUCAUGUGCGCAAAAAAAUAAUUAACCCAAAUUAAAAAGAUGCGAUUCAAGGCCUUCGGUUUCGCUGGCUCGAAUUCGUUCGCAGUUUCAAGCCAAACGAGUUGUUGGGUGUAGCAUUUGUGUUUUGUAUAAGAUUUACACUUCGCCUGGAGCAUGUAUAAGUUAUGGUUAUUGGCAGAUUCAAAUUUAAAGACGACUGUAACAUGAAAUUUCAAGGGAAAUACGGUUUUUCAGUCUUAGAGGUGUAUCAAAACGCUACUAGGUUUUAUGUCCGACGUUUCGGCCUUUGAGCUUGGCCUUCCUAAGGGGAUCUACAAGAUUAUUAAAAACAUUUUAUAAAAAUAGUACAUUUUUUUCCACUUCAAAAACUCUGACAAAAAACAAUGUUAAAAGUUUGUAGGUAAUCUCUAAAGCUCAAACUAACUCUAACGUUUUAAUAUAGUUACCGUAAACUGGGGUGACUUUGAUCACUUUUUUGAUUGUAUCUUAAAUAUUUUCAGAAUAUACUGAAAACAAAAUUGUUUUAUAUUUUUUAAAUAAGUACUGGCAUGCAUUGAGAAAGAUUCAGUCACUACUUCAAACGUUUAGUAACAAUUUUGCUGUUUUUAAGUAUGCUCCAAAAGUUUUACACCAAUCAUCAUUCCGGGGUGACUUUGAUCACUUAAUUACUUUGAUGAAUUUGGAGUAACGCAUUGCUACUUUCACUAAAUCAAACAGCCUAAAACGACUUAAACGAGUUCAUAAAUAUGGAAAGCAAUUUGGGGGCCAUUCACAUUCUACGUGAACAGUUUAUGUUGGCGAAUGUCCAAGAUUCAUACAAAAUUUUUAGUAAAUAUAUGAAUGAUUAUCCACUGAGAGGGAAGGUGGUCUAAAAUCAUCAAAAACCAGUCCACGUGAAAUAUGACUUAUGCAAUUGUCCAAAUUUGCAUGUUACUUCACGUCUUGGGUUUUUGUUAAAAAGAAAUAUGUAAUACGCUGUGGAGAUUAUUGGGACUCAACAUUGCCUUCGAGGAAAAACUUGCAAAAUAACAAUGAAAUGCAUUGUUAUAAUAUUUGUUAAUCUUAAGAACUAAUCUGGGAACAAAAUAAAAAAACUUUACGUAUUGCAACUUGUUGUUUUGAAUCUGCUUGAACCGAUUGUUUGUAUGCAACAAAAAUUGCCAAAAAUACACUUUAUUUUCAAUUAAUAUUUCAGAAUGAAAAACACUGUGAAAAUAGCAGGAAUUUAAUGAGUAGUAGCAGUGCAGACAUAUAUCCACACAAUCAGUGUAGAUUACGACAAAUCCCAAGCACUAUGAGCGCUUUUUUACCACAUUUUCAAAAAAGGGGUACAGUGAUCGAAGUCACCCCGGUGAUCAAAGUCACCCCAGUUUACGGUACUUUGAAAGAGAUCCCAUAGAUAGCUAUGACAACCUAUCGUAAAGCUUUGUACGCUGAACGAAAAAUGGUACAACUUUAUGUAAGUUUUUUGAGAAAAAACAAUGUCAGAGUUUUUGAAGUGGAAAAAAAUGUACUAUUUUUAUAAAAUGUUUUUAAUAAACUUGUAGAUCCCCUGAGGAAGGCCAAGUUCAAAGGCCGAAACGUCGGACAUAAAACCUAGUAGCGUUUUGAUACACCCCUAAGACUGAAAAAGCCGUAUUUCCCUUGAAGUUAUUGGCAGAUUCAACAACCUGGAUGCUUUAUGGCAACAUAUUUUUAACAGCAGAGGGAUAUUAAAAGUUUUUUUUUGGAAUAUUAGAAUUAUUUUAUGGUUACAUAGCUUUCAUACGUAUGGUAACCGUCCGUAUUUUUGGCUGUUGGCGCGUUCACCAAAUAUCGAAAAAUUUCACCGUAAUUUACUCAAACAAUAUACCAUUUAACUACACUUUUUUUCAAUAGAAAUGUUGCGUUAGAAAAAGCAUCUUUUUUUUGUUAUAAUAUAUCAAAAGGUAAUUAAUAUAUCAAAAAAAAGGUAAUUAAUAUAAAUUUACGAAACUAUUUUCUUCAGUGUAAUAUACACUGAAACACUUUUAGAAACAUUUAAUUAUACAUAUUAUUAUUCAAUGAGUUAAUUUUUGUACACGUGUUUCUGACGAGUUGCCAUUGAUGAAAAAAUCGCUUUUCGGAGUGGGAAUGUUCGAUACAUUUAAAAUACAUUUCUCGCGUAACUUUUCAAGAGGACCUAAGUAGCAAUGGGAGAUUUUCUUCUCUCUCAUUCUGUUCCGUUGAUUUCUUGUCACAAGUCUUCAGAUUAUAAUAUUACCUAGCUUACUAUACAAAGAGUAUCAUGAAAAGUGUAAAAACUACUUAGUUAUUAAUCAAAAAGAAAGUAAACAAAGAGAGUUAUAUAGGUCCUUUUGAAAAGUUACGCGAGAUUUGAUGUUUUGUUAAAAGCUGUGAAUCACUGCGUCAAGUGUAACAUAUAUCGUAUCAGAAAAUAAACUAAAGAAUUGUUAGAUAUCCAAGUUUCUAAACUCGGAUUUCGUGUUGAAUGGGAUGAACGUCAAGAUUACUAAACACAGAAGAUAUUUUUGUCACACGACAAUGCUCCGCCACAUUUUGAAAUUUAAUCUCUGCUAGUCAAUUCCCUUUAAUAUAAUUUUUCAUACAAUAAAAAAAUUAGGUCAUUUUAGUUCGGGAAAGUCAGUUGGUGUCAGCAGGAUAGCAGCGCUAGCCCCGUAAUUGUUCUGUAAACCAACAGUUGGUUAGAAAGUCUGUGUAUAACCAACAGACGUCCAAGCUCCGAUUGCGGAAGCUUGCACCAAGCUUUUUCAUUUUAAAUUUUGAUCACUUACCAUGGAAAGUCAAAAUAAACUGCACUGGGUUUAAUUAAAUGUUUGAUAUUUCAACGUAAAGCCAACAUUGGCGAAAACGACCAAUCAAAUGAUAAUUAUGCAUCAAGUCAAUGAAAUCACGAAUAUUAUUAUCAAGCAAGACAAGAAAUGAUAUCAGAUUAUAAAGAGUAUAUGAACCGAUUAAUUGUAGCAAAAUACCUGCAUUAUCUAAACAUGAAAUUAAAUAGCACCUAGGAAUUGAAUAUAGUGAAAAAAUGGCACAAGUCUCCCAUUAUAAAAUAGGAUUUAAACCGCUUUUGCCAUUUUUGCUUAUAAUUCAAAGUUCGAAAAACUGUUGUCCAAGCAUCAUAUAUUUGUUCAUAAAUCAAGUGUGUUAAAGUAUGUAAUUUUUUUCCCGAAAAUUUAUUUUGGUGAUUCAGUUAUAAAAAAAAAUCAGAACACAGGCCAGCGGCGAUCAACAACCUUGAUAACACUUUUACCAUCCAUACAUAACGAAGCACAGAGCAAACAACGAAUGCAUCAAAACUGCAAUUAAAUGUCAAAAUCCAGAUUCACAGCACAGCAAAUGUUCAGCGAAAAUGCGCAAAACAUACGAAAAAAAAAAUAAUGUGGCACAUCACAUUACAUCCUCAAUUAGGCAGCAAGGUGAUAAUCUUUUGCUUUCUUCGCGGCCACAGAUAAAGUAGGUGAAUAAGACAGAAUUAAGUAAUCUAAUCAUAUAAUAGCAACCAGCGUAGGUACGAUACAUUGAUAAGUAACAGUACUCUUUCAGUUACAUCGAUUUUCUUCACUUUCCGGGCUGAGGGGUUCUGAUGCCGUUCGCGGUUCAUAGCCCCAAAGUGCUUGCGAAGGUAAACAUAGCAUCGGCAAAAUGUUCCUUGUAAAAUUACGUAGAACGAAACAUUAAUUAAGUGUAUCAAGAUGGAAGAUGAAUACUUUAAAACGGCGGUAGUAAUGCAUCAGUAAAAAUAUGAAUGUUUAGUGUAUCAUAAAUAAUAACAGCUUCCGGCACUGCAACUAAAACCCUUUGACAAGAUUUACUAAUUGUAAUUGUGGGAAGCAGGAAAAAUAUUAUAAUAUAUGAUAACAUGUCAACCAAUGGUUGCGAGUAUAAAGUAUUUAAUCUAAGAAAGUAUGAAGCAUGGCUAUCAGAAUCAAUUAAACCACAACCAAUACCAGUAGUUGUAAUUCAACACACGGCAGAUGCAAUUUUAUCGAAAAUAGAAACUAGAAGUAACCAGUAAACAGUAAAAGUGUAUAAAACAAUGUGUGUUUAUUAAAAUCAUUGGAAUAAAGAAUCGCACAUCAAGUCCCAGAUCAAA